GCCUGUGACAAAUCACCCUGAAUGUGCCCGAUCCCGUCAGAUCUCGCAAACAAAGCAGGCUUAAGCCUGGAUAGCUCUUAGAUGGGCGACCAUCACGCAUAACAUGUGUUAUAGGCU
rnacentral:rRNA from 1 species